rnacentral:rRNA from 1 species
UACGGGGGGGGGCAAGCGUUGUUCGGACUUACUGGGCGUAAAGGGCUCGUAGGCGGCCAACUAAGUCCGACGUGAAAUCCCAAGGCUUAACCUUGGAACUGCGUCGGAUACUGGAUGGCUUGAAUUCGGGAGAGGGAUGCAGAAUUCCAGGUGUAGCGGUGAAAUGCGUAGAUAUCUGGAGGAACACCGGUGGCGAAGGCGGGUCUCUGGGCCGAUACUGACGCUGAGGAGCGAAAGCGUGGGGAGCGAACAGG